ACAGGGGUGAUGGUCCCAUCACUGCUUUCAGGCGGGGAGCUCAGAAGGCGGGAAGUACAGGUGUCUCUGCAGUCCCUCCUCCAUCUGCUCUACAGCCCGGCUGGUCCUCCACACAGCAGCCCAUCCAUCCAUGCUGGGUCAACAGAAUGACAAUGAGCAGGUCAAGGAGAUGGCAGGGCCAGGGGCCGGAGGGCUUCUUCCUCACCCUGCAGGACAAUGAUGCCUCUGCCCCUCAGGGACAGCCCCUCUGAUCACCACCAUUAUUACUCUCAAUGCAGGACAAUCAGAUGCUUGUCCACUCAUGAACUCUGUCCAGCUCCAGUGUCUGAGCUCUGGGGACAGUGAUGGACGAGGACAUGGUCCCACUGAUGGGGAGAGGGUGUGCUGAGGUCAGUGUGGAAGCCAGCAGGGCCAGGGCCUUGAGGAAAGGGUUUCUGGAAGUGGCCCCUGUUCUGGCUUCCAGUGGCUGUGUCUGUGACAGGGGGUUUACCCUGCAGACAUCUGCAAGGUCCCCUGGUACUUCCGUGCCUGUGUGGCUGGAGCCCUUUGACUGCAGUGGCUCCUCUGACCUCUGGAGGACCCGGCCUGAACUGCGCAGCCUGGGAACAGCCUGAGCUGCGCCAUUGGGAUGCACAUCACGGCGCAUGGCACCGGCUCAGGGAGGAAUUAGACACGGCGUGGGUGUCCAACGUGGGGGUCGGUGGCUGUAUCGGGGCAGAUGGACUCGGCGGGCGCCCCGCCUCACCCCGAUAUUUCUCUACCACCAUCAGGACCCCUACCCGCCGCCUCCCAGCUCUGCGCCCCAGCCCCUUUGUCUGGCCCUGCCGCCCGCCCCGCGCGCCCGGGCCGGCCCGUGCACCACCGCCGCCACCACCGCUGGCGGGAACAAUGCGGGCCAAUGUCUCGGACAGGCGGACAGGCGAGCUGGCUAUGCAAAUGCCACCGGCCUGUGAGAAUUCCCCUCCGCCGCCCCUGGCUUCUACCGCCUGAGAGGGGCCGGCAGCCACUGCAUAGGGAUGAGCUGUCAUCUCCAGCGCCCUGGGACAGAGCGCCAUUGUCUCCACAGCACUGUCUAAUCGCCAGCCUCCGCCCAAGGCAGAGGUGUUUCUGAAGCUGAUUCCUGUCCAGAGCCUCAAGGGGAAUGUCCUGGUUUCCCCAAACCAGGUUAUGGGACAGCCAUCCCAAGUGGUCCUCUCUGAGCAUGUACCCCACACUUCCCUCCACUGUAUGCCACAGUUAAGGGCCCUGUCUGUGCCCUGAAGAAAGGCUCACCACAGCAGGACUGAAACUCCUCCAGUGACGAAGGCGUAGGGCUGCACAUGCAGUCCCCCUCCACAAAUGGAAGAGGUGUGCCCAGGGGGAGGCCAGUCCAGGAACCUGUAUCUGGCUAACAUAUGGGACUGGUCAAACCCUGGCCUGAAAUACUCAGACGGCAGGGGUGCCUGGCUGGCUCAGACUCUUGAUCAGGGGAGCCUGAGUUCAAACCCCUUGUGGGGUAUAGAGUUUACUUAGAAAAAAUACUCAGACAUUGGUUGAGGGAGCUCUGUGCUGGGCAGUGAGGUGCCUGGAGCCCUGUUCUUGGACGCAUGCAGGCCAAGCUCCAGCACACGGUGUGGAGGCUGGACGGGGUGCAGAACCUAAAUCCAUUUUUCCUGAACCUUUCCGGAGAUUCAUGAUCAAGGGCUGAUGCCCCUCAGGUGAAAAGCUGUUCUAGACCUGGCGCUUGGGCCCUUGAGACAGUGAUAUUCUGGGACUCCUCAGGUUCUCGAGGAGGAAUCAGUCAGGGCAACACCAAAAGGAGACGUGUCCUGGGAAAACCCAGGCCCAGUAAGGCAGAAGAGAGUUGAAGGGGGGCGGAGGGAGAAGACGCUGCUGCAGAGGCUUGCUCUUCUCUGGGCUGGCCCAGCCUUUCAUCCCCCAUGCAGCUCUUCCCUUCUGUCCCUCUGGCCUCCCCAGAGGUGCAGGUGCGAGGGUGAUGUACACAGCAACCUCGUCCUGGGGGCGUGUGAGGGGAGCCUGGCCUCCAGGGGCCACAUUGGGGUGCUAUUAGAUAAGAGGAAAGUCAGGACCAGGGAGCUGGGGUGUUUCAUGGAACCAGGGAAGAUACCAGAGUUCUGCCUGCCUCGCAGCCCCCACCUUUGGAACUGGGCCCUGCUGAAGCUCCUCACCCAGCUGCUCUUUUGUCCAGGUUUCUGGUCCAACCCAGAAUUCCUCCAGAGCAUUCUGACCUGGGCUGCUCAACCUCAUGGAAGCUCCUGGCGCCACCUCAGGAAACCAAACCCGUGUUCUCACACAUCUCCACACAUGGCCAGGACCCCCCCUGGGCCCUAGCCCCAGAGCACAUCUUCCCUCCCAUGAGGGCAUUUGCAGAUGGGCCCCCUUGCUUUGGGCAGUUCCUGGAAGAGGAGUGACCAGAGCUCCCCACCCUCAAAGCAACCCUCUCUCUUUCACUUGGACAUUUGGGGCUCUCUGGGCCUGCUCAGCUAGUCUUCUGGGGCCCCAGGCAGGCCCAGCUUGGCUCGGAGGCUGAGAGAGGAAGUGGCUUUGUUGUGCCUGGGCAUCGUCUGGAUUCUUAAACUUGCUUUUCCCACCCUGCUCUUCUUGGCAGGAGAGCCCUCAGCUGGAGAUGCUGCCCGCCUCCCAGUGUUCCCUCCUUGCCUGCUCACACCAUCCACCUCCGUCUCCCCAGAGCAAGGAAUGUGGCUCCAGGACACUGUGGGGCUUGUUCCCAAUCCCUUUCUAGCUCAUUUCACUCAGGCUUUUAUAAACUUGCCUUCAUCCCACGGGCUGUUGUCUGGUUCUGGCUCUGAAGACACAGACAGAGGUCUCCCCUCCUCCCCGCAAUUCCUCACGCUUCAUUUUGUCCCAACACCAUCUGAGGAGGCUGCGCCAUGGGGGGUCAAGGAACCCUGAUGUGGGAGCUGGCGGGGGGCAGGGUCCCCCUACUUUCUGGCCCUCGAGCUGCUCAGGAACCGGACCCCGCACGGUACACCGUGGCUGUCAGCCAGUCAGCAGUUCUGUGCCAGCCCUUCUGUCCACGCCCCGCAAGCCUCGAUUAUUGGUGGAAUUAGCACCGAGCUUCUUGUUGGCAGUUGCUAAUUAAGACCAUUAAUAAACACGAUUAUUGAUGUUGUA